AUGAAAAAGGCAAAGCAGAAGUAAUUCUGUGACGCAAAGCUAGAGGGUCCGAGCAUUUUAUAAUAGGAUAGCCAGUUGUCA
rnacentral:ncRNA from 1 species